rnacentral:ncRNA from 1 species
ACUAUAGUACGCACAGCGUACUAUGUUGAUCUUUAGAUCAGCUUCUUAUCUGCUUCGGCAAAUACAAACUUAGAUUGAUGUAUGCAGAGUAUGAAAUAUAGAAACGCAUGUCAAU